AUCCUGAUUAAGUGGCAGCGAGAACUUGGAAUAUCUGAUUAAGUUAAAGAUCUUGAGAUAGGGAUUAUCCUGAAUGAUCUGGGAGGGGCCCAGUGUGAUCAUAAGAAUCCUUAUAAAUCAGAGAGGGAGACUGGAAGGCUAGAGUCAGAGAGAUUUGCAGAUGCUAUGUUGUGGCUUUGAAGAUGGAGGAAGGGGCCAUGAGCCAAGGAAUGUAUUCAGCCCCCAGAAAUUAGAAAAGUCAGGGAAUAGAAUCUGCCCUCGAGCCUCUGGAUGGACCGCUCUUCUGAGGCCUCCAUUUUAGCCCAUUGCAACCCAUUUCAGAUUUCUGACUUGAGACCAGUAAGAUAAUACAUUUGUGUUGUUUUAAGCAGCUGAAUUUGAGGUAAUUAGUUACAGCUGCAAUAGGUAAAUUGACAUUAAAUAAUAUACUUGACGUUAGGCUUCUUUACUGUAACUCACUUCUGGAUGGCAUGUUGUUGUCUGUUUUUACCUUUCUCCUUCCCCGCCCCCCAAUUGAUCUAUUAGGAAAUAGAGAACUAUCUUCAUUUCUGCUCCUUCUUCCAGGCUUGAAUCUACACAACAGGCCACUCCCCAAAAUUCCUCUGCUUAAUUUAGAGAGCAGGUUUCAGGGAUUCACCUGGGAACAACAGCAGCAGGCACCUGACUCAUAUUCCUGGCGGAGAGGAAGGGAGGCCAUGUAGCUGCUCUUCCGUGGACGCGGAUGCUUCCUGCCUCAUAGCCGGGUCGCCUCCGCGCUAACCCCGUUGAACCUUGCAACCAGCCCCUCUAGAGUGUGGAAGAAAGGAGCAUCGACCCAGCCUCAGAGACCCAUGAAUGAAGAAGAGAGAAGCAGAGGGAAAGAGAGAAACUGAUUGAAAAGAUGCAGUCAAAACGGGCGUUAGGAAAAAGAAGGAGCUAAAAGAGGCCAAAAGGCUAAGGAAGAAGAGAAAGCAUGCAGGAAUGAGACACUUUACUAAAGAAACCCAGUUCCUGAGUUUUUUUCCGAUUCAGAAAGGAAUGGGAUGGAAAGCAAAGGUGGAUGUAUCAUCAAUCUAAUUUUGCGGAAAGGAACUGACUUCUUCCAAGAGGGAGGAGGAGGGGCACAGAGCAAUGCAUUCUGAAGCAGAAGCUGCCAGUGCUGGUCCCAGAAGUAACAACCCAGAUCCUGAAGGCAUCUUUCCUGGAAGUUUUCCUAAAAGAUGAUCCAAACACCUAACUAACUAUACUGAUUUACAACAGCACCAACAACAUCAACAACAAACCUAAGGCCCAGAGGCACAAUGUUUGGACCAGCCCAGGAUCCCUCACUCACAAGAACUUCUAUCGGACUUAGCUUAUCCCUCAGAAGACCCUGGACACCACCAAAGGUCAUCAGCACAAUCUUGAUGGAUGUCUAAGAAUUGAAGAUUGAUUUUUGCCUAAUGACAAUAAAGUCAUCACUAAGUUAAAUAUCUAUAAAUUAAAUAUCUAUUAAAUAUGUAUUAAAUAUAUAGUAAAUAUUUAAUUGAAUAUUAAAUGCAUGUAUAUUCUGAGCUUUAUUGUGUUUUUCAUGAAGACACUGUCAAAGACUAGAGCCCCAUAUGUUAAAAAAGUGAGUGAGUAAUCUUAUUAUAAGCAUCAUAAUAUGGUCCCUUUUCUUCAUCCUGCUAUACAUAACAAUCUGUUAUACAAUCUCCAUUAUUCUACUAAUGAAGCCUCUUCAAAUCAUAACUUUGAGAAACAUUACCCUCACGUAACAAUUUUUUUUUUUUCUUUGAGAUACAGUCUGUCGCCCAGGCUGGAAUGCAGUGAUAUGAUCGCGGCUCACUUCAAUCUCUGCCUCCCAGGUUCAAGCGAUUCUCCUGUCUCAGCCUCCCCAGUCGCUGGGACUACAGGUGUGCGCCACCAAGCCUGGCUAAUUAUUGUAUUUUCAAGAGACAGGGUUUCACCAUAUUGGUCAGACUGGUCUGAAACUGCUGACCUCAGGUGAUCCGCCCACCUCGGCCUCCCAAAGUGCUGGGAUUACAGGUGCGAGCCACCAUGCCUGGCCCUAACUUAGCAAUUUUUGAAGAAAUCUCAGCAGCCUUAAUUCAAAAUCUAUGUAAAUUGUGUGUGUGUGUGUGUGUGAAAAAGCUACCAAAUGAUUCUUUUGGAGAUGAGGAAUUGACAGCGAGCUUAGGAAAAAGUCAGUUUUUGUUGUUGUUGUUGUUUUUAAUCAGGAGUCUUCCUAAGUUGAGAUGCUGACAUUCAUGGCCACUUAUUGUCUGGUUGUAAUUCAAAUCCAAUGUCCAGAUUCUACCCAUUAAAGAAGGUAAUAACUGGAAAUAACUUCAUUAAUAUCAUGUUCCAGUAUCUGCGGGCUCUGGUUGUAUGGGAGAAGGCUGUCUACCAUUUUGCUAUGAAUUCUAAUAACCUAUGCCAGAUAUAUAGUCAUGGGGUAACCCCCAUUAUAAAGCUUCUAGUCUACAAAACCAAGAGAAAGCUUGUCAAAAUAAAUCUUAACUUCUGACCACGGUAGAAGACCUACUACGGGGUAUUAACAGUCAGAACUGCCAAUCACUGCCUGGUCUAAAUGUUUGUAUUAAAAAUUCCAACUCUGGUGGCAUGAACUUUGGAUAAAAUCAUCAUAAGCUGUGUGAGUCCAAAAAAUAUAAACCCAGAAUGAAAUAUAUUUGGGGCUAAAAUGACGUUACUAAUGUCUGAGAUGGGUCUCCCUCUCCCCCUUUGAAACGUGAUGCUUUUAUUAGAUUAUUUCUACUGCCAAAAGACACAGCUACUGUCUGGCUACAUUUUCUGGUUUUCUCUUGAAUUAAAACAAAUAAAUAAAAGAAAAAUGUCUACAUCUUUUAAACAAAGCAAAUGGGAAUAUUUUUAUUAUUUUUUUUUCCUGCCAACUGAACAAGUUCUAUACAUUUAGAUAGGUCUCUGGUUCACAUAAUAUGAUAUGUACUUGUAUGUGCACACAGAAUGUAUAAGAUAAAAUGGGCUCCUUAAAAUAAGCAAGUAUUGCCUAAGGAUAUAUAGACAAAUGGAAAACAGCACUUCGCUAUGUUACAAGGGUUGGCAUGGUGCUGGAAUUGACUGGGAGCUGCAUAAUUUUCAACUUUGCUAUCUACAGGCUCCUGUUCCACCUCUAUGAUUUUUUUGCUUCAUCAUUUACCUUUCUGAUCCUUGAUAACAGUCAUUGUUUCUCAGAGCACAAUGAGAAUUUGGAUCACAUUGCUCAUUCUCCUCAUUUUACAGAUAAGGAAAGUGAAGCUUCCAGAAAUUAAAUCAUCAUCAUGUACAUAAAGUCAACAUACAUAAUUACAACUAAUUAGUGGCCAACCACAUGCUAGGAACCUCCAUAUUUACAUAUUCAGCAGUAUGUGCCAGAGGCAUCCUCAGCACUUUACUGACCUAACUGCAGGGUCCUUGGCGGUCAUCUUUGUUUUCCAUUUAAAUAAAACUAGGGGGAAAGACAUUUUCCAUGCAGGGGCAAAUCGCCUCUCAAUAAUUCUGCAGAUUCUUAGGGAAAGCAGAGGAGUGGGGAGUGGGUGGUCCUUACAUUUUUGCCUAUUGCCUCUGAGUUUGCCUUUGCUAAUUUCCUGAAAUUUAUUGAAAUUUGCCUUUUAUAUUAGUCCCAUUCUCUUUACUCUGCAUCAGUUCCUACAUACUGUUUAUGUAGGAUCGUUAUUUUCGAUGUUGUAUCAUUUUUUUAGAUUUGUAUAAAAAUGACUAGCAUUUGGGGUUUGCCAUGUGCCAAGUACUCUAAUAGGCACUUAAUAAAAGUUUUGUCUUUCAAAUCUGUCUUUGUGAGCAGGAUGCGGUGACUCACCCUGUAAUCUCAGCACUUUGGGAGGCCGAGGCAGGAAGACUGCUUCAGCCUAGGAGUUCAAGACUAGCGUGGGUGACAUGGUGGGACCCCAUCUCUACAAACAAUAGAAAAAUUAGCCAGACGUGGUGGCACACACCUGUAACCUCAGCUACUCCUGGGCUGGGAGGAUCGCUUGAGUCUGGGAGUUCGAGAUUACAGUGAGCUAUGAUAGCACCACUGCACUCCAUUCUGGGCAACAGAAUGAGACACUGUCUCUAAAAAAAUAAAGUAAAAUAUGUCUAUGUGAUUAGGUGACUGCUCUGAUGACAGAGCUGAAAUAUAAACCUGUGCCUAAUCAAUUCCAAAAUCUGUUCUCUCUCCACUAAGCUAUGUUGCUGCCUGUAUGCUAUUAGUUUUAUAAAGUGGGGUUCUUCAUAAGACAGAAAUUAUAUCAUUUGCCCAUCUCUGUAAGGCAUGAUCUCUCAACUGUGGGAUGUAUCAGGGUUCACUGGCAUUAAUCUCCAUCCC
rnacentral:lncRNA from 10 species